rnacentral:rRNA from 1 species
CCGCCGGCGACCGGCGCACGGGUGAGUAACACGUAUGCAACCUGGCCGUGACAGAUGGAUAACCGGGAGAAAUCCCGCCUAAUACAACAUAAUGCCGGGAGGGGACAUCCCCUGCCGGCCAAAGGGGGCGACCCCGGUCACGGAUGGGCAUGCGGCGCAUUAGGUAGUUGGUGGGGCAACGGCCCACCGAGGCGACGAUGCGUAGGGGUUCUGAGAGGAAGGCCCCCCACACUGGUACUGAGACACGGACCAGACUCCUACGGAAGGCAGCAG